GUGUGUACUGUGUAGUUGUACCUUUGCCUUGCGAUGUACGAAUCAUUUCAUUUGUAUACAAACCUGUUUUAUAUGUGAAUGAUGUUGGAUAUUAAGCGUAAAAAAUGUCAAAACGGAAGUCUGCGGUGACUCUAAGUAAUGUUGUUGGUGUCGUAAAAGAGGUUCACUACCCCGGAAAAGCGAUAGUAACGUUUCGGUUUGAUGGGCAAGAAGAACGCGCUCUUCUUUACGGCGAGAAAUUGCUUGUAGAUGGAAAAAGUGAAUCUGAUAGGCAAACACUGUACGAAUUCGUUGCGCAAGGAUCUGUGCUGAAGUUCACAUGUCAUUCGUUCAGUAAUAACGGUGAAGAUCGUUGUAACUGGUUUAUAACCUGUGCUUGGCGCCUGCAUACUUACGACCUAGGUAGUCCUGCUGGUACGACCACAGUGAAUGUGAUAUUCGGAUUGAACAGUACAUUGGGUACUGUUGUUGAAGUGACUGCGAGACACUGUGUACUUUCGUUCAUCAAUUAUAAAGGUGAAGAGGAAAACGUCCUUGCAUUGGCAAGCAGAAUUUUUGUGGGAGGUCAUCGAGUGAGCUCCAAGCAAAGCCUGCAGUCUGUUCUGCAUGUGGAUGAUGCAGUCACAUUUGAUGCAACUCCCUGUGAGCCAGAAGAAAUUCCAAGCAAUUGCAAGUGGUUUGCAACAGUGAUGUGGCGUGGACGUAGGCCUUUGCAAGAUUAUGACAGUGCUUUGGAAAUACCUCAGCACUUGAAUAGAAGUAAUCUACUUGGCUUUAUAAAGCAGGCUGCCUUCAACCCUAAAUCACCUUUUAUCAAAGGGUAUGGUCGCAUCAUUGAAAUACUUAAUGAAGAAUAUGGAUUGGCACUGAUAUCUCUGCGUCAUAAUCAUUGGGAGAGUAUGCUUUUUCAUCGUAGUGUUGCUUUCCUUUUUGGCUUGAAACUAACAACACACAACCUUCAAGAAAUCUUCAAAGAAGGUGACCAGAUUCGUUUUAUUGCUGUGCCAGCACCAACUAAAAAACUUAUGACCCUUUGGCUGGCAACACAGAUUAGUGUAGCAGUUGGUUCCACACUGUUGGAGGGUGAUCUCCCUCCAAUUAAAUGGUCCGAAGUGUGUAACAAGAAGAUCGUAGACAUGGCGGUCGAACGGCACCAACAAGUGUUUGCCAGUCACGCCAUGGAAGCCGUAGUGAAAAAACAAGGAGUGUUUAUGUAUUCUGUGCUGUUUUAUAACUUUGAAUAUUGUAGUGGUAAAAAAGAACAGUUGAAAUAUUGUUAAUUAUUGUUUAUUUUGGACAUGGAGAGGGUAAGACAUGUUUUCAGAUUCAGAAUGAGAAUGGACUUGGGUUUUAAAUCAACCAUUUCUUAUGUGUAAAUGAACUCUGUUUUUAAGGUUUGGACACACGAAGAGACUUACUUGAUAGUGGUUGUUUACGUGGAGAAUGAGUUUUCUAAAAGUUUAAUGUUCAAAUAUAUGUUGUGAAGUUAAGCAAAAGAAACUGUAUAUGUAUGCUUAUUUUUAUAAGUAGAAAGAGUCUCAAGAAAUUCCUGUUCCUAGCGAUAUACUUCGGAGAAGAAGAGAAAAGGAGGUUGCAGCAGCAAGCUAACCAGCAACGAAUGUCGGCUGACCAUCUCGAGUAAGUCUAUCGUUUAAGAAGUGGGAUUUUGCACACAUACUUCACCACCUUAAGUCGUCCAAAGUGUUAGAAUGUAGCAACCAUGAUAGGACAGAAGAAAACAGGAAUUCUGAGAUGAAAAUGAGAUAAGAAGAUGUUAGGUGUUGUCAUAAAACCGAGCAUAACAAGACAAAAGAACUAGUUCAUGUAAUUGGAUUCUGCCUAAAAAUUCAAAUGGUGAAAAUUAGUAAAUGCAAAACAGGGAAGAUGUAAGAAAGUACUAGUGUUAAAAUAAAUGAGAGAAGAUCUCAACAUAUUAGACUAAGAAGAGAGACGCCGAGAACAAUUCGACUGAGAAAAUCUGGUGUAAGGAGUAUACUGCUUUCACACAUUGUGAGUAAGCAGAUGCAGAAACCAGCAUCUGAUGCCGCAGGCACCAGUUGCUGUCCACCGGUGCUAACCUGCUUCCACAUCCACUCACCAACGCGUACAUAGAAACCAACAACCGAUGCCACUGGCACCAGUUACUGUUCACCGAUGCUGUUUACACAUCCGCUUGCUGAUGCGGCCUAAACUUUGUCAGGUCCGAAGUGUGUAACAAGAAGACCGUAGACAUGGCGGUCGAACGGCACCAACAAGUGUUUGCCAGUCACA